rnacentral:rRNA from 1 species
GACGAACGCUGGCGGCGUGCUUAACACAUGCAAGUCGAGCGGAAAGGCCCUUUCGGGGGUACUCGAGCGGCGAACGGGUGAGUAACACGUGAGUAAUCUGCCCUUCACUUGGGGAUAACUACCGGAAACGGUGGCUAAUACCCGAUAUGACCUAUCACUGCAUGGUGUGUUGGUGGAAAGUUUUUUCGGUGGAGGAUGUGCUCGCGGCCUAUCAGCUUGUUGGUGGGGUAAUGGCCUACCAAGGCUUCGACGGGUAGCCGGCCUGAGAGGGUGACCGGCCACACUGGGACUGAGACACGGCCCAGACUCCUACGAGAGGCAGCAGUGGGGAAUAUUGGACGAUGGGCGAGAGCCUGAUCCAGCAACGCCGCGUGAGGGAUGACGGCCUUCGGGUUGUAAACCUCUUUCAGCGGGGACGAAGCGCCGGUAAUGGUGGUGACGGUACCCGCAGAAGAAGCACCGGCCAACUACGUGCCAGCAGCCGCAGUAA